AGUGGAAGGUCAGAAUGGGGAAGGUAGGACUUGGGGAGAGCCAGAAAGCUGGGCCACAGAAUGCCCAUCAUGUGGCUUUGGCAGGGAUACCUUCUCCCCUGUCUCCUGCGAUGACACAGAAAAUACAUCCGAGGAAGUGGUUUCAGGAUUCCCCUGGGAAAAGCGGGGAUGAAGAAAGGCUUGGUGACUCUGUGCCCCACUGCGCGGAGAAGACGGGGAGAGAAGGAAGAAGAUGGGGACAUAAGGAGAAGACGGGGAACUGGCUGAUUUGAGAUUAAUAACAUCAAAAAUGUGCUUGGAGGGGGAAGAUUUUCAUUCUUUGUGAUGUCCGUAUAUGAAAUAGUAUUAAUAGGGUGGAUGCAAUUCUGAGAA
rnacentral:lncRNA from 1 species